UACGUAGGUGGCAAGCGUUGUCCGGAUUUAUUGGGUUUAAAGGGUGCGUAGGCGGCUUUGUAAGUCAGUGGUGAAAUAUGGCAGCUCAACUGUCAGGGUGCCAUUGAUACUGCGGAGCUUGAGUACAGAUGAGGUAGGCGGAAUUGACGGUGUAGCGGUGAAAUGCUUAGAUAUCGUCAAGAACACCGAUAGCGAAGGCAGCUUACUGGGCUGUAACUGACGCUGAGGCACGAAAGUGUGGGGAUCAAAUAGG
rnacentral:rRNA from 1 species